GGUGCUAUAGUGUAGUGGUUAUCACUCAGGAUUUUGAUAAUACCUUCCUGAAACCCAGGUUCGAACCCUGGUAGCACCU